rnacentral:ncRNA from 1 species
AUAAAAUCGUUGAUAAAGAGAGUAAUUAUUUGCGGAAAGUAAGCGAGUCAGGGAUGGUGUGAGCCUGUCAUGAAGCAAGUAAUGAACCGGACUUUUGAGAUGCUUGCCUGAAAUUAGUAGGGAAAGCCGGGUUAAGACCCCGUUAUUCAUGUAAAGUGGUUUUUCUGUAUGGAAAAACAAGCAGAGUGGUACCGCGGAAAUUGAAAGCUUCCGUCUCUAUU